rnacentral:misc_RNA from 1 species
GAUGAAGAACGCAGCGAAAUGCGAUAAGUAGUGUGAAUUGCAGAAUUCAGUGAAUCAUCGAAUCUUUGAACGCACAUUGCGCCCGCCAGUAUUCUGGCGGGCAUGCCUGUUCGAGCGUCAUUUCAACCCUCAAGCACAGCUUGGUGUUGGGACUCGCGUUAAUUCGCGUUCCUCAAAUUGAUUGGCGGUCACGUCGAGCUUCCAUAGCGUAGUAGUAAAACCCUCGUUACUGGUAAUCGUCGCGGCCACGCCGUUAAACCCCAACUUCUGAAUGUUGACCUCGGAUCAGGUAGGAAUACCCGCUGAACUUAAGCAUAUCAAUAAGCGGAGGA